rnacentral:lncRNA from 1 species
UUUUUUUUUUUUUUUUUUUUACGUUUCUGAGCUCUCAGUAUUGGACCCAGCCGGCGAGAUCUCGCGAGAUGCUGCAGGACUACCCGGCCGCUUCCCCUGCGGCGCGUGGUACCCGAGGCGAUGCCGGAGCCGCUAACCGCCCUGCUCUCCUGCGGGUGAUGUCUGGGGCUUUCUUCUUGGGCCCGCAGGUGCUUCCGGAGUUGGGGGCAAGGUGCACCCUCCAGCAAGGCCUGGCCUUGCUAGGAGCUCUGGACCGCCGCGAAUCCCCUCACCCACUCCAGGCCUGAGCCUGGAGGGAGGCAGGAUUUCCUCUGGGCUGCCUUUGAGGCGUUUACCCGCCUGGCAGCGUUAGAUUUGCAUAACCAGAUACGAAUUCCAGUGGAGAUGCAGUGGGUGUGUCUGCAUUUCCGAUUACACCAUCAUUUUAAAAGCUGUGAUGUUCGAAGAUUUGGAGUUUUAAAAGCAGUUUUUACUGUCAUUAUUUUGCUGUGUCUUAAUUUGGAAGAUGGAACAACAGCCCAGACUGAGGACAACCAGUGUGUGCGGUGCCCCCUGGCUCUCUUCACAAUGCCUGGCGGGAGGAAAUUGGACUCAGGGAACUGAUGCAAGGGCUGAUAUUCCGGCAACUGCUGUUGCUGUGAGUAAGGAAGUCCCUUGUUUCUGACCCUGGACGCUGAUGUCUUCUGCCACCAUCCUUGACAGUGCACACAGACCUCAGAGAAGUUGCAGGUUCAGUUCCAGGCCACUCCAAUUCAGGUAAUAUGAAGGGUGUUGAGAAUUUGACAGCAUCACCAUAUGUGCUUCAAAUGAUACCACAUUCCUGAUUUUCAGUAACCAGGUCAAAAGGACUCUCCAGACUUCCUCUAGGAGAAGUAUUCUGCUAACUUUAUCUUCAACAUUUGAAAGCCACUGACAAAACGUUUUAGGAAUAAACACUAUUGGUGUGUAGGAUGCCAACAUAGCUUAGGCCUCAUUAGAACAUGGACCUAUGCACAACUGCUAACGUCUUCCAACUCAUCCUGAUGGAAGGGAUUCUAGAGAAGAGAAUGCAAGAAAUGUCUUUCUAAGCUAUAGGUAUGAAAAUAAGAAAAUGUAAUGAAAACUAACCUUAGAUUACUGGGUUACUUAGUUACUAGGUUAGUCGGCUGGACUGUGAGGGCCAAUGAGUCCAGUGUUCCACCUUUAGGUAGCACACUCCCUUUCUUUACAGAUGUGCCGUGGUCUUUAGGAAACCAGGUAAUCGAACACGGUAACAUCAUGAGAAAGCAAUUCAAAACACAAACUUUAAGAACAAUAUGUGUGUGUGGAGUUCCCUGUCGUGGCGCAGCGGAAAUGAAUCCGACUAGGAACCAUGAGGUUGCGGGUUCGAUCCCUGGCCUUGCCCGGUGGUAUAAGGAUCUGGCAUUGCCGUGGGCUGUGGUGUAGGUCGCAGAUGCGGCUCGGGUCUGGCAUUGCUGUGGCUGUGGCGAAGGCCAGCGGCUACAGCUCCAAUUAGACCCCUAGCCUGGGAACCUCCAUAUGCUGCAGGUGUGGCCCUAAAAAGACAAAAACAAAAACAGUAUGUGAGGUGGGAGAUGCUUUGGCAUCAGUAUUGGGGGCAGAGCCAGGAAGUGGUGGUAGUUGUCAGUAAAAUUCUCUACUGACUGAUUGGAUGUAUGCCAUGGAGAUGUUUAGAGUCCCACUAGAGAGACAAGGGACACACAGCAAAUUAAAUAAAAUACAUCAUAUGCUUUUCAAAAGCCACUCAGUCCUCUUUGUGCCAUGUCUUACAACUGCCACCAAACAAAACUCAUGUAAGCUCAAAACAUUUACUUACUCCUUCCUGCCCAGGGCUUCUCCAAGGCCAGGAGAAAUGCACAGUCUGAUGCCUGUGCAAUCAGGAAGUGCAAGGGAGUUACUGCCAAUAGAGCCAGCUUUAAUAAAUGGGGGACAAGAUCUUAUAAGUAAAUAUUUAUUUUCAGAGAUGCAUUUCAUAAGGCUCCCAAGAGGAU